CGGGUUAAGGAUGAGACUUCAAAGUCUGUAUCAGGGUUGAGAGCGCUUACGACAGCUACGGGUCUUUAGAAGAAGGGAUGUAAUGAGUGGCACUAUGAGUUCUGAGACAGGAGAAUCAGGGAGCUCAAGUGAUUUGCACAAAGCCCCCUGCUUAGUGAAUAAUGUAGGGAAUGAAGCGCAGUGGUCUUGAACUACACAGCGCUCUGGGAGUUAGCAAGCAUUCUCUGCGUAGUAGUAAAUGCGUUAGAUGUUGCAUGCUGCCGAAACCCCUGUCCCUGUUCAACUGUGCGGUCUUGGUACAAAACCAGAUCUAGAUGAUAUGGAAACUAAUCACACCUCUCUGUCCCAAUAAAGCUUUACUAAAAAGAGCCAGAUUUGCAGUCUCCUAUCCUGGCUCCAACCGUAAGCAGGGACAAGGAAGUGAAAGGACCUCUCUUUGGAACAAAUGUCUGUGCUGGAUCUGGCCUCUGAGCAAGAAGAAGUC
rnacentral:lncRNA from 1 species